rnacentral:misc_RNA from 1 species
GAUGUAGAACGUAGCGAAAUGCGAUAAGUAAUGUGAAUUGCAGAAUUCAGUGAAUCAUCGAAUCUUUGAACGCACCUUGCGCCUUUUGGUAUUCCGAAAGGCACACCUGUUUGAGCGUCAUGAAUACCUCAAUCUCCAUCUUUUCUUCGGAUUGAUGGGUGACUUGGAUGUUGAGCCCUGCUGGUAUGCUAUAUCAGCUGGCUUUAAACUUAUUAGCCGGCUCUGUACUGGAUCGGUUUGACUCGACGUGAUAAUAUUAUCGUUGAGGAUGCAUGUCUCAUGCAGCCGGAAAGUAUCAAAGCAGCUUCUAGCUUGCCUUUAGUGCACUUUUACAUUUUAGACCUCAGAUCAGGUGGGACUACCCGCUGAACUUAAGCAUAUCAAUAAGCGGAGGA